CUGAGUUGGCUCCCAACUCAAUCCAUACUCUUAAGUAACAGAUUUAAGAUGCUCAAUAUUGGAAUUAUCUGCCAUCAAUUUAAAAUGAAAC
rnacentral:lncRNA from 1 species